rnacentral:rRNA from 1 species
AAUAGAUACCCGGGUAGUCCACGCCGUAAACGAUGAGUGCUAAGUGUUAGAGGGUUUCCGCCCUUUAGUGCUGCAGCUAACGCAUUAAGCACUCCGCCUGGGGAGUACGGUCGCAAGACUGAAACUCAAAGGAAUUGACGGGGGCCCGCACAAGCGGUGGAGCAUGUGGUUUAAUUCGAAGCAACGCGAAGAACCUUACCAGGUCUUGACAUCCCACUGACCGGUAUAGAGAUAUACCUUUCCCUUCGGGGACAGUGGUGACAGGUGGUGCAUGGUUGUCGUCAGCUCGUGUCGUGAGAUGUUGGGUUAAGUCCCGCAACGAGCGCAGCCCUUGAUCUUAGUUGCCAGCAUUUAGUUGGGCACUCUAAGGUGACUGCCGGUGACAAACCGGAGGAAGGUGGGGAUGACGUCAAAUCAUCAUGCCCCUUAUGACCUGGGCUACACACGUGCUACAAUGGAUGGUACAAAGGGCUGCAAGACUGCGAAGUCAAGCCAAUCCCAUAAAACCGAUUCUCAGUUCGGAUUGC